AGUGUAAGAUCAGACUUGCAUGUGCUCAGCUCUGUGUCUGUGAAGAGUGACCAUUCAAAAUAGUAGCCCACCGUUCUUCAGUGAGAAAAAAGCAUCAUCUAUCAAAAGGCUUCAAUAUGAGACAUUGGAUUCAGAUGUCCAGACUCACAGGAACCACAAGAAUUUCACAGACAAUCUCCUGUGGAUCUUCCAAGAUCUUGAGAGCAGAAUAAUGGCGUAUAUGAAGAAUGAACUGGCAAAGUUUAAAAAAAAUAUUACAAAAGGAGAGAACAUAAAAUAUUUUGUUGCAGGAUUCUGGAAUUUUAAUGAGAAUAGAUGCAGUAUUAAAGCAGCAGCUCUUGAUCUCACACACUAUACUUCCUGAGAGAUAUGAAGCAAGAUGAAGCU